CUCGCGUCGACGUCGCCUCCGCGGGGGAGACGUCGCGGUGACGGUGGUUGCAGAUGACGACGACCACGGUGGCGGGCGGAGCACCGGAGCCCGACCGGCGGAUCGAACCGGAGGCGGCCAAGCAGGAUUCGACCCACCACGCGCCCAGCCAGCCAGCCAGCCCACCAACAUGGAUGCGCAGGCGGGCCAUCCCCUGUCGGCCAACGCCCGAGGCGGAGAGACGGACACGGCACACCGACGGCUGGGCUGGCCGCUCGAUCCAACCGGAUGAGACGUUCGCGCUCGGCUUGUGCAGAAAUAAAGUUGCAGCGGUGAUUGGUGGCUCGCUCGCUGGAAACGUCCGCCGGCCACCAUUGCGCCGAACCCGGUUCACGAAUCACGAUAACGAACCGCAUCGGCAUUAGCCUUUAAAGUUUCUCGGUGUCGCGUGAUGCCCGCGCCACACGACCCCCCCCCCCGGUCGAUCGAGAGUCUCUUUCGUUAGUUUCAGAAAGACUAGGAAGGUUUUUUGUUACCUUUUUCCAGUUCCCCAGAAGUCAACGAACUUCUGGCUAAAGGCGAAAAAUAGGGCGAUUCCGGUGGCGACGGGGGGCGGAGCCUUCGUUUCGACACCCUCCCCGGUCGACCGGACUCGGCGGACAUCUCCAUAGUUGUUCCCCUCGAGCAUCGGAGAACUUGGAGAGGUUGAAGUUCGUGCGAGCUGAAUCUGAGCCGCCUUCCAAUAUCCAGUGGAUGAAUCCUGGGAUUUUGCGGAAGGAUCAUCGAAGGUAUGAUUCCGAAUCGCAUAAUCUAUCUGGUCAUGUUGAAAUUGAGGAUCAAUCGAAUGUGAAUCAAGAUUUUUCUGUUUGCGAAAAUGAUUCCCCGUUUGAAUUCGUCGAUUUGAGGAGCAUGAAAAUCAAACAUACUCCUGUGAUGUUUCGUUGGAUUUCCGGGAGAAAUCAAACUUUCAAUCCCUGGAAAUUUCAUGGUAACAAGAUUCCUUCCUGGAUCACACCUCCCCGGGGCGAUACUGUCUUACCUCAAUUUCAGGAAUCUUGGGGGUGUGUUGUGGAAAACCGUAAGGUGGUGCCCAAGAUUAAUGAAAAAGCUAAGGGGCUUUGGGGAAAAAACCUGAAUCAGGUAUAUUGUGGAC
rnacentral:misc_RNA from 1 species